GUUUACCCAUGUGUGGAUGGUGUUCAGCACCAGGGGCAGGCAUACUUACCUGUUUGUGGAUGGUGUUCAGCACCAGGGACAGGCAUGUUUACCU
rfam:Branchiostoma floridae genomic scaffold BRAFLscaffold_150, whole genome shotgun sequence.